rnacentral:rRNA from 1 species
AGCAGCCGCGGUAAUUCCAGCUCCAAUAGCGUAUAUUAAAGUUGUUGCAGUUAAAAAGCUCGUAGUUGAAUUUCGGGAUUGACACAUCGGUCGUGCCUUAAGGGGUAUGAACUGGUGUAGUCAAUUUCUCACCUUCUGGAGAACCACGAUGCCCUUAAUUGGGUGUCGCGGGGAACCAGGACCUUUACUUUGAAAAAUUAGAGUGUUUAAAGCAGGCAUUUUGCUUGAAUACAUUAGCAUGGAAUAAUAAAAUAGGACGGCAUGAUUCUAUUUUGUUGGUUUCUAGGAUCACCGUAAUGAUUAAUAGGGAUAGUUGGGGGCAUUAGUAUUCAAUUGUCAGAGGUGAAAUUCUUGGAUUUAUUGAAGACUAACUACUGCGAAAGCAUUUGCCAAGGAUGUUUUCAUUAAUCAAGAACGAAAGUUAGGGGAUCGACGACGAUCAGAUACCGU